GAGACGGAGUCUCGCUCUGUCGCCCAGGCUGGAGUGCAGUGGCGAGAUCUCGGCUCACUGCAAGCUCCGCCUCCCGGGUUCAUGCCAUUCUCCUGCCUCAGCCUCCUGAGUAGCUGGGACUACAGGCACCCGCCACCACGCCCGGCUAAUUUUUUGUAUUUUUAGUAGAGACGGGGUUUCACCGUGUUAGCCAGGAUGGUCUCGAUCUCCUGACCUCGUGAUCCGCCCGCCUCGGCCUCCCAAAGUGCUGGGAUUACAGGCGCAUGAGCCACCGCGCCCGGCCAUCUUUUUUUUUUUUUUUUUUUUUAGACAGAGUCUUGCUCUGUCACCCAGGCUGGAGUGCAGUGGCGCAAUCUCAG
rnacentral:lncRNA from 10 species